rnacentral:rRNA from 1 species
AGCAGCCGCGGUAAUUCCAGCUCCAAUAGCGUAUAUUAAAGUUGUUGCAGUUAAAAAGCUCGUAGUUGAAUUUCGGGAUUUGUCAGUUGGUCGGGCUUCACUGUCCGUACUGACUUGAUGGAUUCUUACCUUCUGAAUAACCAGCAUGCUAUUUUAGUUAGUGCGUUGGGGAAGCAGAUCUAUUACCUUGAAAAAAUUAGAGUGCUUAAAGCGGGCUAGUGCUUGGAUAGAUUAGCAUGGAAUAAUAAAAUAGGACGGCAUGGUUCUAUUUUGUUGGUUUCUAGGAUCACCGUAAUGAUUAAUAGGGAUAGUUGGGGGCAUUAGUAUUCAAUUGUCAGAGGUGAAAUUCUUGGAUUUAUUGAAGACUAACUUCUGCGAAAGCAUUUGCCAAGGAUGUUUUCAUUAAUCAAGAACGAAAGUUAGGGGAUCGAAGACGAUCAGAUACCGUCGUAGUCUUAACCAUAAACUAUGCCGACUAGGAAUCGGACGAAGUUAAUUUUAUAAUGACUCG